rnacentral:lncRNA from 10 species
GGUGCUCUACGUGUAUGAAGUUAUUUAAUACUUAUAACAACUUUAUGACAACAAAGGCAAACUUUGGCAACCACUUGAUUGUCUAACUGAAAUGAGCUGAGCUUUGCAAAACUGGAAGAGAAAUAUGCCUUUUGGUCACUAUAUGUCAGAGUGCUGAAAGAAUGAAAUGGACGCAUGUCAGCCCAAAAACAUAAAGCAGAAAGAAACCAUUUCAUGUCCAGAAGCAUAUCCUAGAAGACAACUGCUAAAGAGAAGGGAUUAGUAAAAGAAAAAAAAAAAGAAGGAAAAAAAUCUUCAAAGCAAAUGAAAAGAAACAGACAGUUCUUCAAAACAAGAGAGGAAAUUGGAAAAAGAACAUUUGGGGAAGAAAAAAGCAUGUGGAAUUUCUCUAAACAGAAGAUGGAAUGAUCCAUUUUACCUGCAGAGAGUGCAA